rnacentral:pre_miRNA from 1 species
GUUUAUUCUCAGCUUUGAGAACUGAAUUCCAUGGGUUGUAAUUGAAUCCGCUGUCAGACCCAUGGGGCUCAGUUCUACAGCUUGGAUAUUUCUG